ACGGGGUGCAGCACGCUCGAAACCUUUGCAAUGUGCGCAAGCACGACAAGGUUAAUCCUAGUGUUUCCUGCUAAAGGAAUCUUUUGCUAGUCGUAAAACCACUGAUGAAUAAGGGGUGGGCAAGUUCUGGUGUCAGCCGCCGCGGUAAAACCAGCACCUCAAGUGGUCAGGAGGAUUAUUGGGCCUAAAGCAUCCGUAGCCGGCUCUGCAAGUUUUCGGUUAAAUCCAUUUGCUUAACAAAUGGGCUGCCGAAAAUACUACAUGGCUAGGGAGUGGGAGAGGUAGACGGUAUUCGGUAGGAAGGGGUAAAAUCCUUUGAUCUAUUGAGGACCACCUAUGGCGAAGGCAGUCUACCAGAACACGUUCGACGGUGAGGGAUGAAAGCUGGGGGAGCAAACCGGAUUAGAUACCCGGGUAGUCCCAGCUGUAAACGAUGCAGACUCGGUGAUGCGCUGGCUUGUGGCCAGUGCAGUGCCGCAGGGAAGCCGUUAAGUUUGCCGCCUGGGAAGUACGUACGCAAGUAUGAAACUUAAAGGAAUUGGCGGGGGAGCAC
rnacentral:rRNA from 2 species